UACGGAGGGUGCAAGCGUUAUCCGGAUUCACUGGGCUUAAAGGGUGCGUAGGUGGGCAGGUAAGUCAGUGGUGAAAUCUCCGGGCUUAACCCGGAAACUGCCAUUGAUACUAUCUGUCUUGAAUACCGUGGAGGUGAGCGGAAUAUGUCAUGUAGCGGUGAAAUGCUUAGAUAUGACAUAGAACACCAAUUGCGAAGGCAGCUCACUACACGAAUAUUGACACUGAGGCACGAAAGCGUGGGGAGCAAACAGG
rnacentral:rRNA from 1 species